GUGUCAGCCGCCGCGGUAAAACGUAGGUGGCAAGCGUUAUCCGGAUUCACUGGGCGUAAAGCGCAUGCAGGUGGCACUGUAAGUAGGGCAUGAAAUCUCCUGGCUUAACUGGGAGACGCUGUUCUAAACUGCAGAGCUUGAGGCUGAGAGAGGGAAGUGGAAUUGCCGGUGUAGUGGUGAAAUGCGUAGAGAUCGGCAGGAACACCCGUGGCGAAAGCGGCUUCCUGGCUCAGUCCUGACACUCAGAUGCGAAAGCUAGGGGAGCGAACGGGAUUAGAAACCCUCGUAGUCC
rnacentral:rRNA from 1 species